rnacentral:rRNA from 1 species
AUUGAACGCUGGCGGCAGGCUUAACACAUGCAAGUCGAGCGGAGAUGAGGUGCUUGCACCUUAUCUUAGCGGCGGACGGGUGAGUAAUGCUUAGGAAUCUGCCUAUUAGUGGGGGACAACAUUCCGAAAGGAAUGCUAAUACCGCAUACGUCCUACGGGAGAAAGCAGGGGAUCUUCGGACCUUGCGCUAAUAGAUGAGCCUAAGUCGGAUUAGCUAGUUGGUGGGGUAAGGGCCUACCAAGGCGACGAUCUGUAGCGGGUCUGAGAGGAUGAUCCGCCACACUGGGACUGAGACACGGCCCAGACUCCUACGGGAGGCAGCAGUGGGGAAUAUUGGACAAUGGGGGGAACCCUGAUCCAGCCAUGCCGCGUGUGUGAAGAAGGCCUUAUGGUUGUAAAGCACUUUAAGCGAGGAGGAGGCUACUGAGACUAAUACUCUUGGAUAGUGGACGUUACCCGCAGAAUAAGCACCGGCUAACUCUGUGCCAGCCGCCGCCGUAAUAC